UGGAUAUGCCAUAGGAUUGGCUGGUGGAGUUUGUGCAGUGACAGAGAGUGGAGACAAGCCAAAUUAUAAGAGUUGAUAUAGCUAAAUAUACCAUGAUGUUGCUUGCUUGGUUAUGGCAUCCUUGAUUUCUAAAAAUGCUUCCUUCGCUUCCAUGCCCCAUUCAAACUGAUCUUCCUUCCUCAGCAUGAGGCUUGUAGACUUGUGAUGCAGACUUCUCUCGUUGGCCCUAUCGCUUAAGCUCCUCAUCAAAUUGAUCUGAAGAAGUUCUUUCUUAGUGUUUAGGAGUGAUAAAUGAUUGCCCCUUCAAGAUCGAUCCCUUUCUUACCUUUGUUACAUGUGUCCGAGCCAGUACCUUGAGCUUGAGCAGUAAGGAUAGUAUUGACUCAACUUAUGGGGCCUGA
rnacentral:lncRNA from 1 species